rnacentral:lncRNA from 10 species
UUAUUAAACUAGUUAUCAAUUAAAAGAGUUACAUGACCACAGCAUUGAAGUAAGUUUGCUUCUAAAAUGCAGUGAUAAUUUAUUAAAGACCAAUUAUAAAAAGAGUUCUAAUAUUUUUUUCUAUUUUAUGGCACUCUUACAGACAUGAGCUCAUUAUUUUUGUUCUACAUGUUUUAGAGAGAACAAGUGAUAUUUAUCUUUUUCUAAAUUUGAAGCACUGAAACCUGAAGUGUCUGUGAUAUGUAUAAUAAGACAGCCUUCUUUCCAAUUUCAUUUUUUUCUCCAAUUUAUUUCCAUUCAUUCUUCCUUCUGUGGUCCUAGGAGAAGUAAUUAUGGCACAAAGAAUUUGUCUGGUAUUGGCUUGGCUAGAACUAAAACAUUAAGAACACAUUUUUCUUCUACAUUUUCUUACGUUUUCCAAAACACUGUUUUGUUGAAUGCUAUUUUAAGGUGAGAGAUGAGGUUUCCGGAAAAAAAUCAAUACCACAGUUUGGUGAAACUUAAACUGGUCAGAAGACUUUUCACAACACUAUUGGCACAGGGAUUACAGGAGCAGCAGAAGAAGGGCAGUGGAGAGGAAUCAGAUUUCUGGGUUGAUAAUAAAAGAACAUCACUAAAUAUUGAAUUUCAGGCACUGAAAAGUUUCAUCACCACCAAUAAGGAAAUCAGAAUAGCCUCUGUGAAUAGAUAAGAGAGGCAUCCAGAAAGUGAGAUUUCAUCUAUUCAAUUUAACUUAAAAUCUCCAUUAUUAAAAAAAUCAAACUAGUGUACUGGGAAAACAAUGGGGCAGUUCUUUAAAAUUCAGAUUUUGGGGUGUGUGUGAGAAAUAUGUUUGUCUUGUGAGUUUUUUAGGAGGAUUAAAUGAGGUAUUGUAUUGCAUGAGGAUUAAAUGAGAUAUUGUUAUUGCAUAUAAAUUGAUGGUGCUGUAAAUAGCAGCAAUGCUAAUCAAUGGUG